UGGAGGCUGAAGAUUUGCAUGAGUGAGAAGAUGAGAAAAUCUGCUGUGAAUUUUUUUUUCUAGGAAUGACAGAGGAGAUAUACCCAUAACACCUCAACGAUAUGACUGCUGCUUAACAAGGUCUGAACAGUGGUAAUAUCCAUUGGUCCUAAAGCAUCCCACCUAGCCUAGAGCUCUCCAGUGUAAAGAAUGCAAGUAUUCCAAGUAAUAUCUUCACAUCAAACAAAGUGUUUUCGUAUAUACUUGGGAUAUUCAAAAUUCUAGUUAUAUCAUAUAACUAGACUAUCAAAUGUCAAGGAGAUUUAAAGACUUUAAAAUUUUAAAAUGAUACAAUUAAGAGACAUUUACAGAGGAGAAAUGUAUUUGUAGGUAAGUGUUCUUGGUAGUGUUCAGCAUUAUGCCAGUUUUCAUGUACUUUUUUUUUAACCACACUUAAUUAAUUUUAACUGCUUUGAUUUAGUUAUAUUUUCACUUUCAUUUUGAAAUAGUCUUAAAUAAAUAACUCCCUUUGUGUCAUAUUA